rnacentral:rRNA from 1 species
CCCGUCCUACGGGAGGCAGCAGUGAGGAAUAUUGGUCAAUGGCCGGAAGGCUGAACCAGCCAAGCCGCGUGAGGGAGGAAGGCGCAGAGCGUCGCAGACCUCUUUUGCCGGGGGACAAAAGGCCGGACGGGUCCGGUUCUGAGGGUACCCGGAGAAAAAGCAUCGGCUAACUCCGUGCCAGCAGCCGCGGUAAUACGGAGGAUGCGAGCGUUAUCCGGAUUCAUUGGGUUUAAAGGGUGCGCAGGCGGGCCUUUCAGCC